GGUCUCUCAGUGUUUACCAUAGGCUGUAUUCUUUACACUGACUGUAUAGAAAAAGGAGGCACAAUAAAUGCACUCCAUAACAUCUCAUCUUAGGCCCUUUGGCUGGUCUGUAUUAUAAAUAGAGGAACAUGA